rnacentral:rRNA from 1 species
UACAGGGGGUGCAAACGUUGCUCGGAAUCAUUGGGCGUAAAGCGCACGUAGGCGGUUUGUUAUGUCGGAUGUGAAAGCCCUUGGCUCAACUGAGGAAGUGCAUCCGAAACUGGCAGCUAGAGUACUAAAGAGGGUCGCGGAAUUCCCGGUGUAGAGGUGAAAUUCGUAGAUAUCGGGAGGAACACCGGUGGCGAAGGCGGCGACCUGGGUAGAUACUGACGCUGAGGUGCGAAAGCGUGGGGAGCAAACAGG